rnacentral:rRNA from 1 species
RCCCGCUGAAUUUAAGCAUAUAACUAAGCG